UAACAAAUCAAAUCAUCAUUCAAAAAGAAGAAAAUUUUCAAAAUCUCGGGUUACAUAGUGCCGGAAAAGUGAGGAAGCGUUUUUGAACGGUGGAAUGCAAAAAGUUUGAAACUUUGGGAUUUUUCCAACAAAAACCAAGAGAACAAGAGAAGACACCGAGGAAAAGAGAAUCUGCAAGAACAAGCCUAGGAAGAUGGGAAGCCACUAAACAGAUGCUUCCCAUCUUCAAGUUGUCCCAAGUCCCAUUAUCUCAAACAUCUCUACAUUUCCUUCCCAAGAUUUGAGACAAAGAUGCAAUUGAUAGACAUUUCACGAAGAGCUAUGAUCACUUCUAUUCGCAAUCGAGUCUUGCGUAUUGGUAUAAACAAUGUUUUGACAUUGGUGAUGAUCUUUAUACCAAUACGCAAGACUUGAUUACAAAUAGAAUUGAUCUUAGCUCCUCGUGAAGUGUACUUAUCCUUACCAAUCAAACCUUAGAAAGCACUCGCAUCUGUUGUCUGUCUCAUUAUCUCUGUCAUGCGAGACAGACGAGUGUACAUAAUCCGAAAGAGGGAGACAAAAUCAUUCCAUAAAUGAGAAAGAAAAGUACCCAAUAUUAUGUAGCUCAUUGAAUAGUUCAUUUGGCAAACUUACAUUUUAGUUCGGUUUCGAACAUGUGUCAUGUUCAUCAUGUUCUAGCCUAAGUACAGCCUCGUUAAAAAAAGAAUCUUCAAUUUCUUGCUUUCAAAUUCUA